rnacentral:sRNA from 12 species
AUGCUUUAAGUGAAGGGAAAUAUCCGUGUCGGGGUAAACUACGGCUUCCGGAUUCCUGGAUAGAGCAUCUCAUAGGAAAGUACCGUUAGAAAGAUCAACUCGUAAUUGAUUGAGUAUAAAUAACCUCUGGAGGGAGGUCGCGGGAAACUAUGAUGAAACUCCUAGAAGUGGGCGUGCCUGGCAGAAGGAGUAGGUCGAAAACUGGUUGCUGAAGCAGCGUAAGCUCCCUGAUGUAAACUCCCUGAAGUUAUCAUAGUAAUACAUCAAAGCAAUAUGAAAGUUGGCCAGUAUAAAUAAAUUCCCUGUUAACGGAAAGAGGGUUUGCAAAUCCGACGUCGUGAGACACGGACCUCAUGGGAAGAAGAAGCAACUUUAGUGUUAGAGAGAUACUGUUAAUGAGCUCUAACAUGUUCAAAUAUUUUAUUUAAG